GACGAACGCUGGCGGCGUGCUUAACACAUGCAAGUCGAACGGAAAGGCCCUGCUUUUGUGGGGUGCUCGAGUGGCGAACGGGUGAGUAACACGUGAGUAACCUGCCCUUGACUUUGGGAUAACUUCAGGAAACUGGGGCUAAUACCGGAUAGGAGCUCCUGCUGCAUGGUGGGGGUUGGAAAGUUUCGGCGGUUGGGGAUGGACUCGCGGCUUAUCAGCUUGUUGGUGGGGUAGUGGCUUACCAAGGCUUUGACGGGUAGCCGGCCUGAGAGGGUGACCGGCCACAUUGGGACUGAGAUACGGCCCAGACUCCUACGGGAGGCAGCAGUGGGGAAUAUUGCACAAUGGGCGGAAGCCUGAUGCAGCAACGCCGCGUGCGGGAUGACGGCCUUCGGGUUGUAAAGCUCUGUUAAUCGGGACGAAAGGCCUUCUUGCGAAUAGUGAGAAGGAUUGACGGUACCGGAAUAGAAAGCCACGGCUAACUACGUG
rnacentral:rRNA from 1 species